rnacentral:rRNA from 1 species
UACGUAGGGGGCAAGCGUUGUCCGGAAUCAUUGGGCGUAAAGCGCGUGUAGGCGGCUCAGUAAGUCCGCUCUGAAAGCCCGGGGCUUAACCCCGGGAGGCGGGUGGAUACUGCUGAGCUUGAGUCCGGAAGAGGCGAGUGGAAUUCCCGGUGUAGCGGUGAAAUGCGCAGAUAUCAGGAAGAACACCCGUGGCGAAGGCGGCUCUCUGGGACGGUACUGACGCUGAGACGCGAAAGCGUGGGGAGCGAACAGG